UACGGAGUUUUCUAGGGUUCCGCGGUCAGUCAUUUGGCCGGUCAGGACCGAGAGAAAACCCACGACCACGGUCGUGUACACGGAGGGAUAAAAGCCCGGGAGGA
rnacentral:sRNA from 2 species